AUACCUACCUGGCGUCGGGAUACCGUGAUCAUGCAGGUGGUUCCCCCAUGGUGCGGCUGUUCCAUUGCACUGCGGAGUGGUUGACCCUUGCGAUUAUUUUUAUAUUUUAUUAGUUUCGCUUCUACCGUGUGUGACUUGCACACACACACA
rnacentral:snRNA from 9 species